rnacentral:rRNA from 1 species
UACGAAGGGUGCAAGCGUUACUCGGAAUUACUGGGCGUAAAGGCGUGCGUAGGUGGUGAGUUAAGUCUGUCGUGAAAGCCCCGGGACUCAACCUGGGAAUGGCGAUGGAUACUGGCUCGCUAGAGUGCGGUAGAGGAGAGUGGAAUUCCCGGUGUAGCAGUGAAAUGCGUAGAGAUCGGGAGGAACAUCAGUUGCGAAGGCGGCUCUCUGGACCAGCACUGACACUGAGGCACGAAAGCGUGGGGAGCAAACAGG